GACGAACGCUGGCGGCGUGCUUAACACAUGCAAGUCGAACGGAAAGGCCCUGCUUUUGGGGGGUGCUCGAGGGGCGAACGGGUGAGUAACACGUGAGUAACCUGCCCUUGACUUUGGGAUAACUUCAGGAAACUGGAGCUAAUACCGGAUAGGAGCUCCUGCUGCAUGGUGGGGGUUGGAAAGUUUCGGCGGUUGGGGAUGGACUCGCGGCUUAUCAGCUUGUUGGUGGGGUAGUGGCUUACCAAGGCUUUGACGGGUAGCCGGCCUGAAAGGGUGACCGGCCACAUUGGGACUGAGAUACGGCCCAGACUCCUACGGGAGGCAGCAGUGGGGAAUAUUGCACAAUGGGCGGAAGCCUGAUGCAGCAACGCCGCGUGCGGGAUGACGGCCUUCGGGUUGUAAACCGCUUUCGCCUGUGACGAAGCGUGAGUGACGGUAAUGGGUAAAGAAGCACCGGCUAACUACGUG
rnacentral:rRNA from 1 species